UACAGAGGGGGCAAGCGUUGUUCGGAAUCACUGGGCGUAAAGGGCGCGUAGGCGGCCCCUCUUAGUCGCGUGUGAAAGCCCCGGGCUCAACCUGGGAACGGCGCGCGAAACGGGAGGGCUGGAGUUCGGGAGAGGAGAGUGGAAUUCCCAGUGUAGAGGUGAAAUUCGUAGAUAUUGGGAAGAACACCGGUGGCGAAGGCGGCUCUCUGGACCGAGACUGACGCGUGAGG
rnacentral:rRNA from 1 species